rnacentral:rRNA from 1 species
GACGGAGGGUGCUAGCGUUGUUCGGAAUUACUGGGCGUAAAGGGCGCGUAGGCGGCUGCUCAAGUCGGGUGUGAAAGCCCGGGGCUCAACCCCGGAACGGCACCCGAGACUGGGCGGCUCGAGACCGGGAGAGGUGGGUGGAAUACCCAGUGUAGAGGUGAAAUUCGUAGAUAUUGGGUGGAACACCGGUGGCGAAAGCGGCUCACUGGCCCGGUUCUGACGCUGAGGCGCGAAAGCGUGGGGAGCAAGCGGG